GACGAACGCUGGCGGCGUGCUUAACACAUGCAAGUCGAACGGAAAGGCCCUGCUUCCAGGGUACUCGAGUGGCGAACGGGUGAGUAACACGUGGGUGAUCUGCCCUGCACUUCGGGAUAAGCCUGGGAAACUGGGUCUAAUACCGGAUAGGAGCCAUUUUUAGUGUGAUGGUUGGAAAGUUUUUUCGGUGUAGGAUGAGCUCGCGGCCUAUCAGCUUGUUGGUGGGGUAAUGGCCUACCAAGGCGGCGACGGGUAGCCGGCCUGAGAGGGUGGACGGCCACAUUGGGACUGAGAUACGGCCCAGACUCCUACGGGAGGCAUCAGUGGGGAAUAUUGCACAAUGGGCGCAAGCCUGAUGCAGCGACGCCGCGUGGGGGAUGACGGCCUUCGGGUUGUAAACUCCUUUCGCUAGGGACGAAGCUUUUUGUGACGGUACCUAGAUAAGAAGCACCGGCUAACUACGUG
rnacentral:rRNA from 1 species